rnacentral:tRNA from 1 species
GCCUGGGUGGCUCAGUUGGUUGAGCGUCCGACUUCGCCUCAGGUCACGAUCUCAUGGUCCGUGAGUUCGAGCCUCGCGUCAGGCU